CCACAUGUAUGUAAGCAGUUGGAAUGUUUAGGUGCUGACCCUGUUAUCUAUUAUAUUUGUUGUCCUUUCCAUCUUAAUGUUCUCCGCACACUUGUUGUCUUUGUUUACACCUGAGUCAGGGUCCUGUAGGAAGCUGUGGUGUGCUGGAGAAAGCUGCGGGUGAUUUAGAUCUGUGUCCUACAGUGAGUCAUGUGCAUACUCCGUGAAUACUCAGAGGUGCUUACUGAUAGCUACUCUUUAGACACAUUUCUCCAUCAUGUUCUCAAGGACUAUUUGGACCACAUCUUGCUUUUCAUAGGUAUUGCCAUCAGAGAGUCUGCAAAGGUGGUCGACCAAGCCCAGAGGAGGGUGUUGAGGGGUGUCGACGACCUGGACUUCUUCAUAGGGGACGAAGCCAUAGAUAAACCCACGUAUGCCACAAAGUGGCCAAUAAGACACGGAAUAAUUGAAGACUGGGACCUAAUGGAAAGGUUCAUGGAGCAAGUGAUUUUUAAAUAUCUUCGAGCUGAGCCUGAGGAUCAUUAUUUUUUAAUGACAGAACCUCCACUGAACACACCAGAAAACAGAGAAUAUCUUGCAGAAAUUAUGUUUGAAUCAUUUAAUGUACCAGGACUCUACAUUGCAGUUCAGGCAGUGCUGGCCUUAGCAGCGUCUUGGACCUCGCGACAAGUGGGCGAACGUACGUUAACGGGGAUCGUCAUCGACAGUGGGGAUGGGGUCACCCAUGCUAUCCCAGUGGCAGAAGGGUAUGUCAUUGGGAGCUGCAUCAAACACAUCCCUAUCGCAGGGAGAGAUAUUACGUAUUUCAUGCAACAGCUGCUGAGGGAGCGGGAGGUGGGGAUUCCUCCGGAGCAGUCGCUGGAGACUGCCAAAGCCAUCAAGGAGAAAUACUGUUACAUUUGCCCUGAUAUCGUCAAGGAAUUUGCCAAGUAUGAUGUGGAUCCUCAGAAGUGGAUCAAACAGUACACGGGGAUCAAUGCAGUCAACCAGAAGAAGUUCAUCAUAGAUGUUGGCUACGAAAGGUUCCUGGGCCCUGAGAUUUUCUUUCACCCGGAGUUUGCCAACCCAGACUUUAUGGAGUCCAUCUCGGACGUUGUUGAUGAAGUCAUUCAGAGCUGCCCCAUCGAUGUCCGUCGUCCGCUGUAUAAGAAUGUCGUUCUUUCGGGGGGCUCGACGAUGUUCAGGGACUUUGGACGUCGCCUGCAGAGAGACUUAAAAAGGGUGGUGGACGCCAGACUGAGACUCAGCGAGGAGCUCAGUGGCGGCAGAAUAAAGCCCAAGCCCGUGGAGGUCCAGGUGAUAACACAUCAUAUGCAGCGCUAUGCGGUGUGGUUCGGAGGCUCGAUGCUGGCCUCAACUGUGGGUGUGCGAUGCCGUAGCACACGUGUGUGAGAGGACCUCCCUCCGCUGUGUCACCGUCUGCAGUGUGGUCAGCGGGAGAGCCCAGCGGAAGAAAUGACCCCGCAGGAAUCUUGAAGACUGUGGCUGAACUUGGCGACUGAGCAGAGAACGGGCCAGGUGAAAUCCUGCCUUCAGACCCUGGCAUUGCUGUCGGCUUGUUGCUGGUCCUUGUUAAUAUCAGUUCAUUUCUUUCUCCUGCUCACCUGCUGAUGGGGGUUAUGUGCUCCAGGGGAGCCAGUGGCCACAGGAUCCCACCUUACUGGACAACUCCGAUGACCAGAGUUCCUGGAAAGAUGAGCUAGGAGGGGAUGGGGACAUUGUCAAGGAAACCACAGGAGGCUGUGGUCCAGCUCUCACUGCACCUCUCAGACUGUAGUCUGUAGAACCACACCCUCUGGGUUUGUGCGGUUGCCUCCGGUUUUUGUUUUUUUAAACUGGGAAAAGCCAUCAUUUGUCGAGUGCUUGCUGGGUUCUGGGUACUGUGCUAAGUCCCCGUUCCAUCAACGCACGUUUGCUAAGUGCCUGUUAGCCCCAGGAUGUGCCAGUCUGAGGUGGAGUCUCCUUUCCAGUGGGAGAGCUGUGCAUUAAGCAGAUAAUCGCAGAUUAUCACAGACUGUGGAAGGGCCACGAGAGAAAGAAGUGCGGGGUGUGCUGAGACACACCACAGGGGCCCUGGGUGGCGUCGCAGCUUCCCGAGCAAGUGACACCCAGCUGAGACCACGAGAGACGCCAGCCGGGUGGAGGUGUGGGGAAGCAGCCAGAAGGGGCUGAUAUGGCAAUGAAAUGCCUCACUAACACACAGGCCCGGUAUGGAUGGAGUAGAGGCAUCCAAGGUGGGACUGGGUGCAGAACUCGGUCUUUCUCUGGAGAACAAAGUCCUCAGGCACGUGAAACAAUUUUAAACAUGAGCGUGGAUGGUCAGGUUGGUGCAGCCGUGCCUGGAAGUUUCAGCCAAGAACUGUAGCUUUUCUCUAGAGUCUGAGCAGACGUGGAAGAAAAGAAGAGAGUCAGCCAGACGCGAGCGCUGCUCUGGAGUGUUCUCUUGGGAAAGCUGUCUCGUGAGACCAGACGGUCUGGCAGAGGCAGCCAGGGAAGACUGGCAGAAAGUUCGAGCCUUACCCUGUGGAACAGUGGGCAAAAGGAAUCAGAGCAGCCAGCGCCUACGAUCUUCAGAUGAAGGUGGGGAGUGGGUUUUGGGGUUUUAGUAUAAUAGAAUAUACGGCCAGUGGAUGCAGUUAGUUUUCAGUUUUAAAACUGAAAGACAGGUGCUUCUGCUGAAUUUAGAAGCAGUAGGUGUUUUUCACUCUUCUUAGCUCUGUGCUUUGUUUCUUUUGUAGAAAAAGAGCUCCUGUGAUUUGUCCAUAAUCAGUGGUAUUUGAGAGCUGUUAUAGAAGGACUUAUGAUACAGCACAGUGUAGAAAAAGUGCUCUAAAUAGUAAUUAGAAAUAAGCUAUCAAGAGAAAUGUUUGUGAGCUAUAAAGGUACAAGUGACUGGUAUUUUCCACUGACAUGACUCAUCUUAAUUAGGAUGGUAUACUGAACUUGCAUUUCUGAUUAUGCAGUCAUUUUCUUGAGCUGAAUUAGUAUGUUUUAACAUUUAUUCAUUAGCCCUUAGUCUAUGAUAAAUUAAACGUUAUAGGUAAUCAAAACAUUAUUGCGUGAUAUCAUUACAGUGCUCUGAAUUAGAGUUUAAGAACAUUAUUACAAUAGUAUAUGUAACUUAAACGUCCCCUACUGGCAAAGAUGAAUAGCAUUAUGAACUUUCUGGUGAUAUGCCGUUCAUGUCCGGGUUGAUUUACAGUUGAGUAACUUUUAAAGAACUGACAGCACUUGUGCCGAGCCUUUAUGAACAGUGUCCCUUCCAAGGAGGAAGCCAUCCUCUGUAAUUUGGUGGUGAUCACUAAACCACUCAUAAUGAUAUGUGUACUAAGUUUGUCGUGCCAGUGCCCUGAGAAGUUGUUAUAUUCAUGGCAUAGUAAAGUAGGUGCCUGGUUUCACAAUGUCACAUUAGGAAAUCAGCUACAUAAAAACGGAAUAAUGAUGUCGAUAGGGCUUAAAAACCACACCUGGGGAUAGUUUUUCAGGAUUUCGUUUUUUCUUAAAAAAAAAAUCACUGAUACAUUCACACAAAGGGAUAUACAUUUUUGAGCGUAUGUAUUUUUUCUUAAAUCUUAAACUCUGCCAUUCCAGUGGACUGCUCUAGAAAGCCUUGGGGCUGUAAAUACUGGACGUCUCCUCCUUCAGUUCCUUACCCAAGGGGGAUGCUUGUUGCCGGUGUGAAUAGAAUGGGAAAGGGACUUGGUGUUCUUUCCCCAACAUGAGAGAUGGGUUUGUGGGGAUGAGAGUUACAGGCCUUUAGACCAAGCAGUUUGCCUCUCCCCGGCCUCCCCACGACCAGGUCCUCUUGACCACGUGGGAUGAGAAGUGACUGAUGAUGAGCAGAAUUCCGGUCUGUGUCCACCACACAGAGUCGGGCUUGCUGGAUGACACAGGACUUGAACCAGAGACCGCAUGGAGACCAACAAAAAUUACUCAGGCCUGCUCACAAGUGAACUGUGGCUUAAUACCAAGCAUCUGCUUCCGAUGUGCUUGUUAUAGCAGAGAGAUGAAAAACAAGUUCCAAGCUCAGAUAUAUUUAGGAAACCUUGUGUUAAAGAAAGCACAUUUCUUUUUUCUUUUUUUUUAGAAAGCAUCUUUCUUUACUCAGUUGACGAGAGCUUUUGAUAUGCUGGGAUGCGUCGUGUCCUUCUGAGCACAAUGUAGUGCACUGCGUUCCAUGUCUACACCCUGGCCCCCGAAACAGGAACACCUCUCGGCACCAGUGGUCCAGAGGACAGAGUUUGGGGGAUCCGUCCUACUGGGAUCCCCCAGGGAGAGCCGCCUUCGGAUCGGGUUGUCGGAGGAGGGCCCUCUCUCAUCUUGCUCUUGGUAGACUGAGGGAAAUUGAGGUUUCUAAAAAGGAUUUUUUUGUUUUUACUUUGGAAUAAUUACUUUUAUUUUACUGUGAACUGAAGAGAAAUGAUAAUUGUGCUUCUGAUGGUCAUUGGUGAUAAAAAGAAAUUAAGGAAAGUUGAAGUUACAGCAAGUAUUUUGGUAUUUUUGCAGGAAGAUUGUAAUUAAGAAAAUGGGCUGCUUGGCAUUUCUUUCCGUAAUUUUUCAUUUCUUAUGCUCUCAUUCAUCAUCUGAGAGGAUGCACGCGUUCAGUGUGUUACAGUCUGCAGGCUGCAUUUAUGCAGUUUUUCUGCAAGGACAUAAUUCCUAUCCAUUGGAGUUUGAUUUCAAAUAUGAACAAAAUCCCUGACAGGAAGAGAUUGAGAGAUGCCAGGGGUUCCUACAGUGCUAACUGGGGUGGGGGUGGGGGAUUGAUAGUGUGCUGGUCACUGGGACAACAAUUUUUAUUUUUAAGGGAAAACAGAUUCCUUUUAACGAGUAUGAUAAAAAUAAGAACGAUAUGAUGUUAUGCUGACAUCCUUUGUUCUUGAGUGAGAACCCCCAGUUUUCUUUAAUCUCCAGUCACAAUUGUGUGCUUUGGGGAAUAUUCUUUUUUUUUCGGGGGGGGGGGUGGAUAUUCUUAAAGAGGAAAAUAAUUUUUAUUCAUUUUAAUAGUUUUAGUGGGCAUCCUAUUUGUGGUUAGGGCAAAGAGUUUCUAAAGGUCAUUUACUUUCAGACGUUUUUGGUUCAGAACUUUGGAGACUGUGGUCAGCCUUCCAUCGCGUGGGCUCUGCCCAUUCGUUAUCCGGGGGGACUGUGAUUUUCCCCCUGCCCUGCCCUCCGGCUGUUUUUCAUGGCAGCACCUCUUCUGGAGAAUGUAGAGGAAAAUUAAAGAUGAAAACGGCUUUCCUUUUAGUUGUGGGAAAAAUAAUGUGGUGGUAAAGAAGAUAAAACUUUGUUGUAUGGAAAUAAAUGAAGAACCACAUAAGUAAGAGGCUGCUUACUUAGCGCUGGUGGAGCGCAGGGGUCCAUCCAGGGGAAGGGGGCUCCAGGGCGCCCUGGUGGAGGCUAUGGGCGCGGGGGACCUAGGGCGGCCAGCUUCCCCACGUGAUUGGUUAGGGGAGCAUGUUGGGUUUUCCCCAGUUGGUCCUGAGCUGGAAGUGGGGUCAGAAGUCAGGGAAGCUGUCCAUUAUUGAUAGAGUCCUGGCUGUCUUGGGCUGGUUGCUGCUCGUGCAGUUUGGCUUCCUGGGCUGAUGAUGCUUGUCGAUGAAAAAUUAAUCAGUCGAUCUAAGAAAGAAUUGGAAAAUUUUAUCUGAGCCAAAUUUGAGGAUGAUCACCCGGGAAGAGCAUCUCAGAAAGCUCUGAGAACUGUUCUGCCCUUUACAAGUCACGGCAUAGUUACAGAAGCAUUUUCUUGAGACAGAGCAGAGUGUACAUUAAAUGAUGUAUUAUCGACAGCCUGCGUAAUCCAGAUCUAAGUGCCCUCGCGGGGGGGGGGGGGGUGACGUGACCCUUACGAGCUCAAGGAGGAACGUUCUCUUUUAAGGGGUUGUCUUGGUGCUGGGAGAACGUGGCUCUUUUUGGUGGAGCAGGUAUUUCUGCUGAUGGGGGAGGUUUGAUCGAUGCGUGGUGCAGGUACACAGUGCACAGUGUGGGGAGAGAGGAGGCCAAAGGGCAGAGAAGAGUUUUCAUGUUUAGAUUUUUCUUGUCUUGCCAUAAAACAUGAGUUUUAUUUCACACGCUGCAGGUUGUGGGUCCGAGGCAGGUUGUCACAUGUGGUCUGGCUGCUGUCUGUUCACGUAUUUAGUCUCUCAAUUGGAAAAAUGAAAUUUUGAGUGAUGUGUGAAUGAUCCAGACUAGAUUUUUUUUUAAGUUUUUUCUUUUUUUUUUUUUAAAGAAUACACAUGCUUUAUUUAUUUAAAUUUU